UUAAUUAUCUACAAUGAUUUCAAUACUCAAGAUUGUUUUUUGUAUAUAAGCAUCAAUGAUAGCAAUAUUUAUUGUAAUCCUAACAGUUGGACCGAGUUUUUUCUUGUGGAUGUACCAUCAACAAUAUCUUUGGUAUCAACAGAUCAAACAAUCUCUUCUAAUUCUACAGGAUCUUUUGUGUAUUGCUUUGAUACCCAAAUAAAGUUGUAUCAGUUUGAUGGCAUUAUUAUGUCUAACUUUAUG
rnacentral:lncRNA from 1 species